UCUUUGUUUUCCACUACAUCCUCUGCGUCCACUCAUCAUAAUUUCUGCACGUCUAUUUGUGGGUGCUCGCGCCAUCCCUGCCAUCUGAGCUGUUUUAUAAAGCGUGUUUGGCACUUGGUUUGCUCCUCUCCUCGCUCUGUAUUUCUCCUUUUUCCUUUCCCCUUGUGCCCUCAACACCAACGCACAACGAACAAAGGGAAAAAAAAACGAAAAGGGAGAUUCAAACUGCACGCACACACGCACACACCCUCGCCACCUUCCUCGGGCGUAUCUCUGCGUCUGUGUCGGUGUCGGUGCGUGAGUUAUCUUUGGCUUGUUUGUUCGAUUUUUUUGUUUGUUUCAGAUCGAAACUUUCAUUUCGCCCCGUUUGGUUUGAAGGGAAACUCUCUCUCUCUCUACGUAUCGAUAGAUAUCUUAUAUAUCGAUAUAUAUUUAUAUACGUGUAUAUAUAUAUCUACAUCUAAGAUAUCUAUCUGUAUGUACAUAUAACGAAACACACAGAGUGGGGAGAAAAAAAAAAGAGAAACAAACAUUUUUUUUUGUUUUGUGUGUAUGUAUGUGUGUUUUGGCUCAUACCACUUAGAGAGAAAAACACAAGAAGAAAAAAGCAAAAGACAAAACGCAUCUCGAUUUAUUAUUAUUAUUUUGACGAAACGCAUACACACGUGCGCUCACGCGAGUAUCUAAUCCUAAAUCCUUGCGCACGUUGCACAGCUUCUUGAAGCUUUCUCUUUCUUUUUUUUUCUCGUCUUCUUUGCUUGUGAGUGUGUGCAUGUGGGGUGCGUUCUCCUCCGUGAGCAUUUCUUUUUUUUCCGUUUUGGUUCUUGAUUUUUUAUAUUUUUUUACGUUUUUAGUACGUCUUAGCCUUGGCUAGUGAGUGGGUCGCGCCUGUGUCUGCGCCUUCUUCGCUGCUCGCUCACUGAGUGUGUGUGUGUGUGUGUGUGUUAUUCCCUCUUCUCCUGCGGAAAGAGCUACGAGCAAGUGGCACAAGGUCCCUACUCCCUCGCCUCUCACAUUCCAUCCUCUCCCCUCCCUCCCCACCCCCUUCUCUUACCCCCUCAUCUGCGCAGAAGCACACCGUCGUCGCCUUGGUUCUUUUUCUUCCAUCCCUCUCUCUCUACGCCAUAGUUUCCUUUUGCCGUUGGUGUUCGUGUCGUCGUUUUUGUUGUUGUUUUUCCGCCUUGUCACGUAAUUUUUUCUUACACCUGCGCCUUGAAGAAACGCCGAAGAACAAGACAAAAGGAAAGCAAAAAUUUGUGUGUGUGUGUGUGUGUAAAUAAGUAAACAAAAUGGCAGACCCUGCGCACACCCGCGAUGGCUUCUGGGAGCAGCAGCAGCAGUCGGUUCAAAUGACCCGGGGUGUCUUUGAGGCCAUGAACAACAACAGCAUGCAGUUGCUGCAGAUGCGCGUCGACACCUUGGAACGGCAGGUGGCGAUGCUAUCUGCGCAGGUCAUGGCAGCCGCGCUGCCCGCAUCUUUUCAGGCUUACCCAGGCGUCACGUACGGAAUGUCGCCCGCCACCUCCAACGUCACCCAGAUGACUGCCAUGCCCACACAGAUGCCCGCGAAUAUGUACUUCUACCAGCCGCCUGGCAUGCCCGCCGCUGCUCCGGCUAACGGUGCCGCUGCGGACGACGGCAAGGCGUCGAAGCAGCUGGAAGAUGAACUCCAGCGCAUGGGUGUGUUGGCCUACGGUGGCGCUGCUGCUGGCAGCACCACGAGCCCCGAGGCAGCCGCAGCGGCAGCGACGAUGACUUUGAUGCAGAACAACUUCGUGGUGUCCCCGACCAGCGGCAUCUCCGCCUUCCCGGGUGUGAUCGCCGGGGUCGGCAACUCCAACGGCGCCGGCCCUGGCAUACCCUUCAUGCCCGGGGCGCACGAGGUGGCUUUGGCGUCCUCGAUGAUGCCGGGUCCGCCGCCAGCCUCCACCUCCACCAAGAUGAGCAAUGCGCUUCUUCAGAAGGCGUUCGGUUUCUCGGACCCGGCCAUAAACGGGGCCGGCGGCGACGGCAUGAAUGCAAACAUGAGCAGCCUUCAGCGCAGUUGUGCUGUGACGCUGGACCCGCUUCAGAGCACCAACGAGAAGCUUGAGCAGAUCUGCCAACAGUCCAAGAUUCGCGUUCUCUGCCUGAAGGGCUGCAAAGGAAUCACCAGCCUGAACGCCAUCUCGCGCCUGCAGAACCUAUGGCUCCUGAACCUGCAGGGAUGCUCACCUUGUGUCGACGACAAUGCGGUGCGCAUGAUCGCUGCGCACAACACACGCCUCAGCCGGCUAAACCUCUGCGGGUGUGACCGCGUGACGGACGCGCAGCCACUUGCGCAGCUCUCCCUCAUGUUUGACCUCAACCUGUCCGGCACGAUGAUCGGCACCGCUUCGCUGGAGGCGAUCUCGCACGGGUGCGGCCAGCUCAGCCGCCUUGCCAUCAACAGCUGCCAGCAGCUGACGGAUGUGUCAAGUUUGAAGAACCUGUCGGAGCUGAAGCUGCUCUACUGCCGCUACUCCGAAAACAUAGACCCGGCCACCAUCGCCAACGUGCUCGCCGGCAUCGGUCAGAAUCUGCUCACGCUGAACGUGGACGGCAUCCGCUUCCGUCAGCUUGACCUCUCUAACUUGCCGCACGUCACCGCCUUGAAAAACUUCAACUGCAAAGACAACACCCAACUUAGGGAUCUGGACUGGCUGCUGAGCAUUCCCAACGCGGCAAGGGCCUUCGAGUCGCUGGAGAUGCUGGACGUGGAAGGGUGCGAGUCGCUCGUGAGCUUCGGGAUGCAUAUCACCUCGCUAAAGCGACUCAAGACGGUGCGUCUCACGAACACUGGCAUCACCAAUGAAGAGCUUUCCCGCAUCUCAGCCUGCCCGGCGCUAUCUGUCAUUCACCUUGAAGACUGCGCUGGCAUCACGAAUGUGGACUGCCUUGCGAAUGUGCCCACUCUCACAAAGGUGAUACUGAGCAUGCGGAUGCAGCAUGAGGACACCAAGGCGAACGGCGUCGCUGCCCUGCGCAAGACUGGUGCCGAGAUCAUCUUCGCGGCGGCCAGCAACCACCACGGACAAGGUGGUUCUGCCCACUAUAUGACGCCGACGAGCCGCUUCGCCCCAUCGAUCCCCACCACCAGUCCGAACACUGCAGCGGAGGCACACGCCUUUCCGUAAGAAGAUCGUACGUGUUUCAAUGGGCAACGAACGAAAACAAACAAAAUGAAGGCGCUGCAGGGCAGCCCACUCCGCCUCCACGCAGGUCAAAACUCUCCGCACCCCUCCCUCCCGUCUCUCUGACACGUUUGUGCGUGUCCCCUUGGGAGUGAGUGGGCUUGAUAACAACGAUGUAACUUUUCUUCGUUUCUUUUAUUGUUUCUCUGUUUCGUAUGCGCAUGUCUGUGUGUGUGAGAGUUUCGCCAAGGAACAGGAGAUCUUGCUGUUUGCUCUGGCAUGCACCGAAAAAAAAAAACACUCAUGGGGCUCAUGCACUCUUUUGUUUGUGUAUGUGUGUGUGGUGUUGCUGGUUUUCUUGUGCUCUUUCUUCCCUGCUGUUUUCCGGUGCCACCACCUCCCCCUCCUUUCGCUCCCUCGCACACGUCGUCUAUCCGUUUUUCUCGAGCCACCCACCCUCGCCCGUGUCCCCUUGUGUCUCUUCUCAACAUCGUAUUGGUCCUGUGGUGGUGCUGGCGGCGGCGGCUGUGGUGGCGGUGGUUUUUCCUUGGUUGUUGUUGUUUGCUUGCUUUUUUGCUCGCUGUGGGCGGAGGGAACGGGUGCUCUCGCGUUUCUGUGCGAAAUGGAAGCUCUUUUUUGUUUCGCUUUCGUUUUUUGUAUGACUUUUGUUUCCUAUUUCUUCCGCCCUUUGCCCUUCCCACAUGCACCGCGUGGAUGCGUGUGUGUGUGUGUGUGUGUGUGUGUGGCUGCGUGGCUGUGCCCGCCGUUGUGCGCCAACGCUUGCUCUCACUUGCCCAUGCGCUACGUGCCGCAACAACCCAAUUCGGAGAGGAGGAAAUGGCACAAAUGAUAUGCACCGCGGGGGGCGCACCAGCACCCACACGAACGCCUUCAGUGGAGAGGGGAGUGUGGGAAGGUGCAUGCGUGUGUGAACGUAGCGACACAAAACGACAUAAGAAGGGACAGAACCUUCUCUCUCCCUCUCGUCCUCAACCCCCUCCAUCCCUAUUUUUUCGUUUGUCGUCCUUUUUGGGCUUAUUUGGCUAUUCUGUCUGCGGCUCGGCUAUUGGACAUGCCCCAGUGUGUGUGUGUGUGUGUGUGUGUGUGGUUUCUUUCUUGCGUUUCCUUCCUUUCUUACUUCGGCCCGUUCCAAGCAGUAUGCCAAAACCACACACACACACACACACACACACACACACACAGAGAACAAAAUAAGGGUCUCACGCACAAAGACAUACAAAGACAUUCGCAACACGUGGGUCUGCGCACCUGUCCCCUCCUCCCUCUUCCUUCCUCGACUGCUGGUCCUCUCGACCCCUUCACACUUUAGCUAAGAGUUGUUGUACAUGGCCUGCCGCUAUUUUGCCCUUCUCUCUCCGUUCGUUCAUGUUUUACAUCUUCUCGAUUCUUUGUUGUUUUCUUUCGCUUCUCCACUCUUCCCUGAUAAGUCUGGUCUCACCAUCUCCUAUGUUUUUAGCUUUCUGUCUGCUUGUCGGUGUCUUGCUUAAUGGUUGAUCUUUCCUCCUGUGCUCGUUUCGGCGCCGUAUUCCUCGGUGUUUUGUCUGUCUUUCCCGUGAGCAUGCAAGUACGUCUGUAUAUAUGUCUCUGCUCUGUGUCUCGUCUCCUCUUCCACUUCUUCUAUCCCUUCCUAUUUCGUCUGCACACCUCCCUUUACUGAAAUUGCCCGCUUUCUCAGUGCCUUUCCGUUACCCGGAGAAAUAAAAAAAAAUUCUUUCGUUUGGUUUCACCCUCUCACCCAUUCACUCUCCCGUUUUUGUUUUGUUUCCGUGUGCUGUUCAACUCUUGCUUCGUGCGUUCAUGUUUCUCUUCUGUUUCCCUCUGGGGGAUGGGCUUCCCUAUGAUGGAUGCACUGUUCUGUCUACCGGCCUGAUGGUAUGACCCCCCUCCCGCCCCCUUCCCCGGUGCUGUAUGGCCAUGUCCGUGUGUCUGUGCGAGUGUGCCCCUGCCACGGCACGUGCUUGUUUCUAAAUGAUAACUCGAUCAGCGAAAACACAACGAAAAAAAGUGACGCACAAGCCCGAAGCGCAGCAGUGCCGACAGCAGCGCUUCGGUGGAGGGAGAGGGGAGGCGGCGGAGGGGGUGAGCACGACGACUCGCAUGUUUCACAGCCCUGCUUAACAUGUGUCUUUUUCUGUUCGAAAUGCCCCGUCCGAUUAACGCAAGUCGCUGGAGCGAACAAGCAGGGUGUGUAUGCAUGUGUGUGCGAAAGCGUAGCCAAGGGGGUGGGGUGGGGUGGGGGGAGGGGGGGCUCCUGUGGAUGUUGUGAGAGAGAGCGUCGCACAAAUGGCAGGGGCGCCUGGUAGAAAAGAAGGAGCGGUGCAUCCGAUGGAGAAGACGGAUAGGGAGCACGCAGGCCGAUGAUAAGAGGCAUGUGAAUAACUUUGGGAUGUCUUUCUGCUCGUUACCCGGUCACCGCUGCCCCAUUCCUUCUACCGAGGCCUUCUCACCUCACAUCCCCCCUAUCCCUAAGUCUGCGCCUCUGGUGCAGAGUGAGCAAGCUCUCCCUCCAGCACAACUCCGUCAUUCCCUCACUGUCAGGCAGAAACGCGUCCGUGUAAUGCAGCUCUUUCCUCUGGCAUGAACUGUCUUCUGUUACCUGCUCGGUGGCCCUGCGCUUCUUUUUUUUUCGAGAGGUGGGGCUUGCUUUUGGUGCGUGAUGUAG
rnacentral:misc_RNA from 1 species